UGGAAAUUGGACAGUGUGUGCUGAGGUUUUCUUAAGCUUGAUGUCGUGGAAACCCCACACCCCUUAACCUGCUACAAUUUAUUUAUAUGUAAAGUUGUUUCUGUGGUUACCAGUAAGGACUCUACUCCUUUGGAGUCAGCUGAGGAGGUUCCCACAGUGACCCAGUUAAACUCUACUCAGCACUUAUUUGACAGUGAGAUGCAGAAACUGCAGGACAUUUUUACUUCAGCAGAAGGUCAAAGUGCAAGUGAGGCGCCUUCAACGUCCACAUCAUGGAGCUUGCGCCAAUCAGCAGCCCAAGAGGAGUGGCGGAAAGCAAGGUCUUAUCACCUUAGCUCCUUGCUGUCCUGCAAUGUGGUUCCAGAGAGAAACUGCAUCCACUGCACAUCUCCUGCCAUCAUUCGCUGCAGAGACUGCAUGCCAGAGGAGUGGCUGUGUAUGGAUUGCGACAUCCGCAUCCAUGCAAAACUUGCACUCCAUAACAGGGAGUCCUGCAUCGAUGGGAUUUACAAGCCCAUUGACCCAACAGAGUGCUGUAUGCAAAAAGAUGGCAGAUACACACUGUUCA